rnacentral:rRNA from 1 species
UACGAAGGAUGCGAGCGUUAUCCGGACUUAUUGGGUUUAAAGGGUGCGUAGGCGGCAUUAUAAGUUAGUGGUAAAAUAUUGGGGCUUCACCUCACUACGCCAUUAAUACUGUAGAGCUAGAGAACAGACGAGGUAGGCGGAAUAAGUUAAGUAGCGGUGAAAUGCAUAGAUAUAACUUAGAACACCGAUAGCGAAGGCAGCUUACCAGACUGAGUCUGACGCUGAUGCACGAGAGCAUGGGUAGCGAACAGG